UACGGGGGGGGGCAAGCGUUGUUCGGAAUUACUGGGCGUAAAGGGCUCGUAGGCGGCCAACUAAGUCAGACGUGAAAUCCCUCGGCUUAACCGGGGAACUGCGUCUGAUACUGGAUGGCUUGAGUUUGGGAGAGGGAUGCGGAAUUCCAGGUGUAGCGGUGAAAUGCGUAGAUAUCUGGAGGAACACCGGUGGCGAAGGCGGCAUCCUGGACCAACACUGACGCUGAGUGAAGCGAAAGCCAGGGGAGCAAAACGGGG
rnacentral:rRNA from 1 species